CAGAACGGCUCAAACAAAAGCCUCUUAGCGCUCAAAAUGUGCAAUUGCACUUUCUACAGAAGGAGUGUUUCAGAACGGCUCAAUCAAAAGCCUCUUAGCGCUCCGAAUGUCCACUGCAGUUUCUACAGAAAGAGUAUUUCAGAACGACUCAAUGAAAAG